rnacentral:rRNA from 1 species
UCGAACGCUUUGUCUUUGACUUGAUCUGACGAGCUUGCUCUGAUGUGAUUUUAUCUGACAAAGAGUGGCGCACGGGUGAGUAACACGUGGGUGACUUACCUCUUAGCAGGGGAUUACAUUUGGAAACAAGUGCUAAUACCGUAUAAUACCAACAACCGCAUGGUUGUUGGUUGAAAGAUGGUUCUGCUAUCACUAAGAGAUGGACCCGCGGUGCAUUAGCUAGUUGGUAAGGUAAUGGCUUACCAAGGCAAUGAUGCAUAGCCGAGUUGAGAGACUGAUCGGCCACAAUGGGACUGAGGCACGGCCCAUACUCCUACGGGAGGCAGCAGUAGGGAAUCUUCCACAAUGGGCGCAAGCCUGAUGGAGCAACGCCGCGUGUGUGAUGAAGGGUUUCGGCUCGUAAAACACUGUUAUAAGAGAAGAACGGCACUGAGAGUAACUGUUCAGUGUGUGACGGUAUCUUACCAGAAAGGAACGGCUAAAUACGUGCCAGCAGCCGCGGUAAUACGUAUGUUCCAAGCGUUAUCCGGAUUUAUUGGGCGUAAAGCGAGCGCAGACGGUUAUUUAAGUCUGAAGUGAAAGCCCUCAGCUCAACUGAGGAAUGGCUUUGGAAACUGGAUGACUUGAGUGCAGUAGAGGAAAGUGGAACUCCAUGUGUAACGGUGAAAUGCGUAGAUAUAUGGAAGAACACCAGUGGCGAAGGCGGCUUUCUGGACUGUAACUGACGUUGAGGCUCGAAAGUGUGGGUAGCAAACAGGAUUAGAUACCCUGGUAGUCCACACCGUAAACGAUGAGUGCUAGAUGUUCCGAGGGUUUCCGCCCUUGAGUGUCGCAGCU